UUGUGUUGGACUGGGAUCGCGAAAACCACCGAUUGACGGUGACAAAGGCCUUACGUAAGCGCUUCAACUCCUUCCACCACGACUUGCACAAGAUUUAUGAAUCCUAUGGAAGCCACGCAGAAGCGUUGGCUAAUGGAACUAGUCUGGUGGACCCCAUUGUAUGGGUGAAGUUGUGUGAAAAGUGGGGCAGCGAUGCCUUUAAGAAAAUUUCAGCUCAAAAUCGGGAGAACCGAAAGAAGCAGGCCAUUAAUCACACGUCAGGACGUAAAUCAUUCGUCCGAUUACUUGAGCAAAAGCGCAAUGAGAAUGGGAAUUUGGUCGACUUCUACAAAGAGACGCGUUGGUUGAAGAAAAAGAAUGCAUUUGUCACAGAUGCUACAGAAA